UUGAACGCUGGCGGCAGGCCUAACCCAUGCAAGUCGCGCGGAUGAAGGGAGCUUGCUCCUGGAUUCAGCGGCGGACGGGUGAGUAAUGCCUAGGAAUCUGCCUGGUAGUGGGGGAUAACGUCCGGAAACGGGCGCUAAUACCGCAUACGUCCUGUGGGAGAAAGUGGGGGAUCUUCGGACCUCACGCUAUCAGAUGAGCCUAGGUCGGAUUAGCUAGUUGGUGGGGUAAAGGCCUACCAAGGCGACGAUCCGUAACUGGUCUGAGAGGAUGAUCAGUCACACUGGAACUGAGACACGGUCCAGACUCCUACGGGAGGCAGCAGUGGGGAAUAUUGGACAAUGGGCGAAAGCCUGAUCCAGCCAUGCCGCGUGUGUGAAGAAGGUCUUCGGAUUGUAAAGCACUUUAAGUUGGGAGGAAGGGCAGUAAGUUAAUACCUUGCUGUUUUGACGUUACCAACAGAAUAAGCACCGGCUAACUUCGUG
rnacentral:rRNA from 1 species